GAACAACUGACAAAUAAUAUAGUAAGUUAUUUUUCGAUUGAUGUCGGAUGCAAAAUUUGAUGUUAGAACGAGAAAUUUUUACUGAAAAACAGUGAAAAAAAAGAAUAGAAACUACUCCCUGAGAAUCAAAAUCUAUUUCUUAUUCGAUUAUCAAACAUGAGCUAUCCUUGCAAUGGACCAGCCUUUUGUGUCCCAACCAAUUGUCCACCGUGCGGACCUGGUGGGCCAUGCGGACCUUGCGGACUAUGCGGACCUUGCGGACCUUGCGGACCUUGCGGACCUUGCGGACCUUGCGGACCUUGUGGACCUUGCGGACCUUGUGGACCUUGCGGACCUUGCGGGCCAUGCGGAUCUUGCGGACCUUGCGGACCUUGUGGGCCUUGUGGGCCUUGUGGACCUUGCGGGCCAUGCGGAUCUUACGGACCUUGCGGACCUUGCCGACCAAUGAGUCUCUGUGAAUGUUUUGCUCGCCAAUACAGUCCUUACGGCGCAUUCUGAAUGUGAUUCAUAAAGUGAAACUGAAAUCCAAAUAAAUCGACAUUUAUCAGACUUUA